rnacentral:rRNA from 1 species
AACGAACGCUGGCGGCGUGCCUAACACAUGCAAGUCGAACGAGAUCUUCGGGUCUAGUGGCGCACGGGUGCGUAACGCGUGGGAAUCUGCCCUUUGGUUCGGAAUAACAGUUGGAAACGACUGCCAAUACCGGAUGAUGACGAAAGUCCAAAGAUUUAUCGCCAGAGGAUGAGCCCGCGUAGGAUUAGCUAGUUGGUGUGGUAAAGGCGCACCAAGGCGACGAUCCUUAGCUGGUCUGAGAGGAUGAUCAGCCACACUGGGACUGAGACACGGCCCAGACUCCUACGGGAGGCAGCAGUGGGGAAUAUUGGACAAUGGGCGAAAGCCUGAUCCAGCAAUGCCGCGUGAGUGAUGAAGGCCUUAGGGUUGUAAAGCUCUUUUACCCGGGAUGAUAAUGGCAGUACCGGGAGAAUAAGCUCCGGCUAACUCCGUGCCAGCCGCCGCCGUAA